AUUGAACGCUGGCGGUAUGCCUAACACAUGCAAGUCGAACGAGGUAGCAAUACCUAGUGGCGGACGGGUGAGGAAUACGUAGGGAUCUGCCCUUAAGUGGGGAUAACCCGGGGAAACCCGGAUUAAUACCGCAUGAUCUCGCAAGAGCAAAGAGGGGGACCGCAAGGCCUCUCGCUUUUGGAGGAACCUACGUCGGAUUAGCUAGUUGGUGAGGUAAUGGCUCACCAAGGCGACGAUCCGUAACUGGUCUGAGAGGAUGAUCAGUCACACCGGAACUGAGACACGGUCCGGACUCCUACGGGAGGCAGCAGUGGGGAAUAUUGGACAAUGGGCGAAAGCCUGAUCCAGCAAUACCGCGUGUGUGAAGAAGGCC
rnacentral:rRNA from 1 species